GUGCCAGCAGCCGCGGUAAGACGGAGGGGGCAAGCGUUGUUCGGAAUUAUUGGGCGUAAAGGGCUCGUAGGCGGAUCCGCCAGUCUGACGUGAAAUCUCCACCGCUCACCGGGGAGGGGCCGUUGGAUACUACGGAUCUGGAGUUCGGCAGAGGACCAUGGAAUUUCGGGUGUAGCGGUGGAAUGCGUAGAUAUCCGAAAGAACACCGGUGGCGAAGGCGGUGGUCUGGGCCUGAACUGACGCUGAGGAGCGAAAGCCAGGGGAGCAAACGGGAUUAGAUACCCCGGUAGUCC
rnacentral:rRNA from 1 species